GCGGGUCGUGGCCGAUGGUCAUCAACGACCGGCGCCACUCUUGCUGCCCCGCUGUCGGUUCCAUGUCGACGCCGCGCUC
rnacentral:tRNA from 1 species